rnacentral:rRNA from 1 species
CGAAAGGCUCAUUAAAUCAGUUAUGGUUCCUUAGAUCGUACCCACAUUUACUUGGAUAACUGUGGUAAUUCUAGAGCUAAUACAUGCAAACAGAGCUCCGACCGGAGACGGAAGGAGCGCUUUUAUUAGAUCAAAACCAAUCGGCGGCGGGUUCGCUCGUCGUCGUACAUUUUGGUGACUCUGAAUAACUUUUUGCUGAUCGCACGGUCUAGCACCGGCGACGCAUCUUUCAAAUGUCUGCCUUAUCAACUGUCGAUGGUAGGUUCUGCGCCUACCAUGGUUGUAACGGGUAACGGGGAAUCAGGGUUCGAUUCCGGAGAGGGAGCCUGAGAAACGGCUACCACAUCCAAGGAAGGCAGCAGGCGCGCAAAUUACCCACUCCCGGCACGGGGAGGUAGUGACGAAAAAUAACGAUACGGGACUCAUCCGAGGCCCCGUAAUCGGAAUGAGUACACUCUAAACCCUUUAACGAGGAUCAAUUGGAGGGCAAGUCUGGUGCCAGCAGCCGCGGUAAUUCCAGCUCCAAUAGCGUAUAUUAAAGUUGUUGCGGUUAAAAAGCUCGUAGUCGAAUCUGUGUCCCGCGCCGUCGGUUCAUCGCUCGCGGUGUUUAACUGACGUGUCGUGGGACGUCCUGCCGGUGGGCUUAGCUCGUUCGCGGGCGGCCCAACUUGAAAUCCCACCGCGGUGCUCUUCAUUGAGUGUCGAGGUGGGCCGGCACGUUUACUUUGAACAAAUUAGAGUGCUUAAAGCAGGCUAAAAUUUCGCCUGAAUAUUCUGUGCAUGGAAUAAUGGAAUAGGACCUCGGUUCUAUUUUGUUGGUUUUCGGAACCCCGAGGUAAUGAUUAAUAGGAACGGAUGGGGGCAUUCGUAUUGCGACGUUAGAGGUGAAAUUCUUGGAUCGUCGCAAGACGGACAGAAGCGAAAGCAUUUGCCAAAAACGCUUUCAUUGAUCAAGAACGAAAGUUAGAGGUUCGAAGGCGAUCAGAUACCGCCCUAGUUCUAACCAUAAACGAUGCCAGCUAGCGAUCCGCCGACGUUCCUCCGAUGACUCGGCGGGCAGCUUCCGGGAAACCAAAGCUUUUGGGUUCCGGGGGAAGUAUGGUUGCAAAGCUGAAACUUAAAGGAAUUGACGGAAGGGCACCACCAGGAGUGGAGCCUGCGGCUUAAUUUGACUCAACACGGGAAACCUCACCAGGCCCGGACACCGGAAGGAUUGACAGAUUGAGAGCUCUUUCUUGAUUCGGUGGGUGGUGGUGCAUGGCCGUUCUUAGUUGGUGGAGCGAUUUGUCUGGUUAAUUCCGAUAACGAACGAGACUCUAGCCUGCUAACUAGGCGUAUUUUCGACAUCCUAAAGGCCCGCCGGCCCGGCGCUCGCGUCGCGGUCGUGCGCGGUUUUUACUGUCGGCGUACAAACAAUUCUUCUUAGAGGGACAGGCGGCUUCUAGCCGCACGAGAUUGAGCAAUAACAGGUCUGUGAUGCCCUUAGAUGUUCUGGGCCGCACGCGCGCUACACUGAAGGAAUCAGCGUGUCCUCCCUGGCCGAGAGGCCCGGGUAACCCGCUGAACCUCCUUCGUGCUAGGGAUUGGGGCUUGCAAUUGUUCCCCAUGAACGAGGAAUUCCCAGUAAGCGCGAGUCAUAAGCUCGCGUUGAUUACGUCCCUGCCCUUUGUACACACCGCCCGUCGCUACUACCGAUUGAAUGAUUUAGUGAGGUCUUCGGACCGGUACGCGGCGGCGCUCCCGCGUCGCCGAU